rnacentral:rRNA from 1 species
CACUGUGGAAUUCGCCCUUCCUACGGGGGGCAGCAGUGGGGAAUAUUGCACAAUGGGCGCAAGCCUGAUGCAGCCAUGCCGCGUGUAUGAAGAAGGCCUUCGGGUUGUAAAGUACUUUCAGCGAGGAGGAAGGCAUUGUGGUUAAUAACCACAGUGAUUGACGUUACUCGCAGAAGAAGCACCGGCUAACUCCGUGCCAGCAGCCGCGGUAAUACGGAGGGUGCAAGCGUUAAUCGGAAUUACUGGGCGUAAAGCGCACGCAGGCGGUCUGUCAAGUCGGAUGUGAAAUCCCCGGGCUCAACCUGGGAACUGCAUUCGAAACUGGCAGGCUAGAGUCUUGUAGAGGGGGGUAGAAUUCCAGGUGUAGCGGUGAAAUGCGUAGAGAUCUGGAGGAAUACCGGUGGCGAAGGCGGCCCCCUGGACAAAGACUGACGCUCAGGUGCGAAAGCGUGGGGAGCAAACAGGAUUAGAUACCCCUGUAGUCAAGGGCGAAUUCCACAUUGGG